GACGAACGCUGGCGGCGUGCCUAAUACAUGCAAGUUGAGCGCUGAAGGUUGGUACUUGUACCCACUGGAUGAGCAGCGAACGGGUGAGUAACGCGUGGGGAAUCUGCCUUUGAGCGGGGGACAACAUUUGGAAACGAAUGCUAAUACCGCAUAAAAACUUUAAACACAAGUUUUAAGUUUGAAAGAUGCAAUUGCAUCACUCAAAGAUGAUCCCGCGUUGUAUUAGCUAGUUGGUGAGGUAAAGGCUCACCGAGGCGAUGAUACAUAGCCGACCUGAGAGGGUGAUCGGCCAAAAUGGGAAGGAGACAAGGCCCAAAAUACUACGGGAGGCAGCAGUAGGGAAUCGUCGGAAAAGGACGAAAGUCGGAACGAGCAAAGCCGCGUGAGUGAAGAAGGUUUUCGGAUCGUAAAACUCUGUUGGUAGAGAAGAACGUUGGUGAGAGUGGAAAGCUCAUCAAGUGACGGUAACUACACAGAAAGGGACGGCUAACUACGUG
rnacentral:rRNA from 1 species